rnacentral:rRNA from 1 species
AGGUGAUAUGAACCGUUAUAACCGGCGAUACCCGAAUGGGGAAACCCAGUGUGACUCGUCACACUAUCAUUAACUGAAUCCAUAGGUUAAUGAGGCGAACCGGGGGAACUGAAACAUCUAAGUACCCCGAGGAAAAGAAAUCAACCGAGAUUCCCCCAGUAGCGGCGAGCGAACGGGGAGGAGCCCAGAGCCUGAAUCAGCAUGUGUGUUAGUGGAAGCGUCUGGAAAGGCGCGCGAUACAGGGUGACAGCCCCGUACACAAAAGCGCAUGUGCUGUGAGCUCGAUGAGUAGGGCGGGACACGUGGUAUCCUGUCUGAAUAUGGGGGGACCAUCCUCCAAGGCUAAAUACUCCUGACUGACCGAUAGUGAACCAGUACCGUGAGGGAAAGGCGAAAAGAACCCCGGCGAGGGGAGUGAAAAAGAACCUGAAACCGUGUACGUACAAGCAGUGGGAGCACCCUUUGGGUGUGACUGCGUACCUUUUGUAUAAUGGGUCAGCGACUUAUAUUCUGUAGCAAGGUUAACCGAAUAGGGGAGCCGGAGGGAAACCGAGUCUUAACCGGGCGUUAAGUUGCAGGGUAUAGACCCGAAACCCGGUGAUCUAGCCAUGGGCAGGUUGAAGGUUGGGUAACACUAACUGGAGGACCGAACCGACUAAUGUUGAAAAAUUAGCGGAUGACCUGUGGCUGGGGGUGAAAGGCCAAUCAAACCGGGAGAUAGCUGGUUCUCCCCGAAAGCUAUUUAGGUAGCGCCUCGUGAAUUCAUCUCCGGGGGUAGAGCACUGUUUCGGCUAGGGGGCCAUCCCGGCUUACCAACCCGAUGCAAACUGCGAAUACCGGAGAAUGUUAUCACGGGAGACACACGGCGGGUGCUAACGUCCGUCGUGAAGAGGGAAACAACCCAGACCGCCAGCUAAGGUCCCAAAGUCAUGGUUAAGUGGGAAACGAUGUGGGAAGGCCCAGACAGCCAGGAUGUUGGCUUAGAAGCAGCCAUCAUUUAAAGAAAGCGUAAUAGCUCACUGGUCGAGUCGGCCUGCGCGGAAGAUGUAACGGGGCUAAACCAUGCACCGAAGCUGCGGCAGCGACACUGUGUGUUGUUGGGUA